rnacentral:lncRNA from 1 species
AUGUGGAGCUGCUCUGCCCAGGGUGUGGCUUGUGAGGCUGACAACCUGCCUGGAGGGCUCUGGGGGCCUUGGGCAUCCCUUCCCUUCCCUGGGCCCUGCCCCCACUCUUAGAAAGACCAAUGGGCUUGGAGCCAGACCGCCAAGGGAUCGAAGGCCCUAAUCCUGAUGGCCUGCAGAAUCUGCCCCUCACUCUCCGUGGGUCUUUGAUGCUGGAGGGAGCCCCAGUUUCUCCAUCCAGGAAAUGGGUCAAGAAGAGCUAUGGCAGAAAUGAGAAGAAAUGAGAGGACUGUCCGGCGUCUGGCAUAAGGGCUCCCUAUGUCACCAGAGACACCACUCCCUGGGAACCCAGGAAAUGCAGGUGCUCUGGGUGAAGGUAAGGGAAACACACCAGAAGCCACAGAACGAGGUACAAGGACACAGAUUCAGACAUCAAAACCCUAGUAAGUGCCGGAAGGCCCUCUGCUUUCCAAAAUGCCACUGUCUCUGGGAAGCAGCCUGGCUCUGCUUCCAGUUUACCUGGGGGCUUUGGUUGCGUCCCUUCCCCUCCCCGGCCUGGAAAAAGGAACCAAUUCAUUAUGCAGGGUUUCUGCCUUUUGCCCAGUCUCAGAUCCUGCGCCCCCAAAGCCCCUGGGAUGGGAGGAGCUGGGGAGCAAAGCUGGGCUGGGGGAGAGGCUGCUGGGGACAUGGUAACUUCUGACCCAGCUGUACACACACACCGAACCCCGUGAGGCUGGCAUAGUCUCCCCCACUUUACAGAAGAAGAAAGAAAAGUAAAGACACGUGACUAGUGUCCCCUACUUUGUGGUCAGCAAAACCAGGCCUUGAGUCUAAGGUCAAAUGUGCAGAGUUGGUGCCCAGGUGCCUCUCCCUCCCCUGCCAGGCUUGAGGCCCAGUUCCACCAACAUGGUCCAUGCUGCAGUCGUGCUGCUGCCUCAGAGCCUCCCGAGGCCCGGAGCCCCUGGCAGUCCCCUCACCGUGGGACUGGGAGGCCAGCUCACCUUCCCGUUCAGUUCUUUCUCUCACCUCGCCCUCCCAGGGCUUGGGCUCAGUGGGCAAAAGACAC